ensembl:misc_RNA Metazoa_SRP Metazoan signal recognition particle RNA
GCCGGGUGUGGUGGCGCACACCUGUAGUCCCAGCUACUCAGGAGGCUGAGGCAGAAGAAUCGCUUGAACCUGGGAGGCAGAGGUUGCAGUGAGCAGAGAUUGCACCACUGUACUACAGCCUGGUUGACAGAGCGAGACUCUGUCUCAA